AGAGUUUGAUCAUGGCUCAGGAUGAACGCUGGCGGCAUGCCUAAUACAUGCAAGUCGAACGGGGAAGAGCAAUCUUCCCAGUGGCGAACGGGUGAGUAAAGCGUAGACAACCUGUCUUCAAGACGAGGAUAACGGCUGGAAACGGCUGCUAAUACUGGAUAGGAUAAGUAGUCGCAUGGCAACUUAUUUAAAGGCGGGUCACGCCGCUUGAAGAGGGGUCUACGUCGCAUUAGCUAGUUGGUGUGGUAACGGCGCACCAAGGCGACGAUGCGUAGCUGUGCUGAGAGGCAGGACAGCCACACUGGGACUGAGACACGGCCCAGACUCCUACGGGAGGCAGCAGUAGGGAAUUUUCGGCAAUGGGGGCAACCCUGACCGAGCAAUGCCGCGUGAACGAUGAAGAUCUUCGGAUCGUAAAGUUCUGUGAUCGGGGAAGAACGGCAUGACCAGGGAAUGGGUCAUGAUUGACGGUACCUGAUUAGAAAGCCCCGGCUAACUAUGUGCCAGCAGCCGCGGUAAU
rnacentral:rRNA from 1 species